rnacentral:rRNA from 1 species
UGUCCAGACUCCUACGGGAGGCAGCAGUGAGGAAUAUUGGUCAAUGGACGGAAGUCUGAACCAGCCAUGCCGCGUGCAGGAAGACGGCUCUAUGAGUUGUAAACUUCUUUUGUACAAGGGAAAACCUGAAUACGUGUAUUCAGCUGAAAGUACUGUACGAAUAAGGAUCGGCUAACUCCGUGCCAGCAGCCGCGGUAAUACGGAGGAUCCAAGCGUUAUCCGGAUUUAUUGGGUUUAAAGGGUGCGCAGGCGGAGGUGCAAGUCAGUGGUCAAAUUGCGGGGCUCAACCCCGUACUGCCGUUGAAACUGCAUCCCUUGAGUGCGCGAGAAGUAUGUGGAAUGCGUGGUGUAGCGGUGAAAUGCAUAGAUAUCACGCAGAACUCCGAUUGCGAAGGCAGCAUACCGGCGCGCAACUGACGCUCAUGCACGAAAGCGUGGGUAUCGAACAGGAUUAGAUACCCUAGUAA